CGCGUGGACUGUGCCCCUGGCAGGAGAGCGACUGCAGCGGAGGACCCUCUUUCUCUAAUAGGUUUGGCCUUGGGGCUAGCGCUGAAGUCUCUGCCUAUGGGGCCUCUGGGGUAGGGCUGAGGGGAAGAAAGGUGUGAAAGACGGGCUGCCUGGAUUCAGCCUCUGGAUCUUAGACCGGGCGCUACGAAUGUAAGAUGAAUUUAGUGGCGCGGCUGCCUCCCUGAAUCCGAACGGUAAUGAUGGAUUUAUCAACGGGGAUUCGCCUUCAGCCCAGCGAGGGAGGUUUACUCAGCAAAUAUGUCGGCGAGCACCCACCCAAAUGCAAUCAUUUGACCCCCUGCGGACGAUAGCUGCCGUGCCCCUUCCCACCGCUGGUCCUGCUUGGCCAGGGUCGCUGGGGGCCAGAGGCCGGCCCGGAUGACCAGAGAGGUGGCCUCACGGAU
rnacentral:lncRNA from 1 species